ACCAUCCAAGAGAUCCCUACCCGCUGAAACUUAAGCAUAUCAAUAAGCGGAGGAAAAGAAACCAACAGGGAUUGCCUCAGUAACGGCGAGUGAAGCGGCAAAAGCUCAAAUUUUAAAGCUGGCACCCUUGGUGUCCGCGUUGUAAUUUUGUGAGGCAUCUCCGGGUAGGGCGCCGGCCUAAGUUCCUUGGAACAGGACGUCAUAGAGGGUGAGAAUCCCGUGCUUGGCUGGCUGUCCCCGUCCAUGUGAGGUGUCUUCGACGAGUCGAGUUGUUUGGGAAUGCAGCUCAAAAUGGGUGGUAAAUUUCAUCUAAAGCUAAAUAUUGGUGGGAGACCGAUAGCGCACAAGUAGAGUGAUCGAAAGAUGAAAAGCACUUUGAAAAUAGAGUUAAAAAGUACGUGAAAUUGUUGAAAGGGAAGCGCUUGAGACCAGACUUCGGUGGGGAGUGAUCAGCCGUCCUUCUGGGCGGUGCACUUGCUCCCCUCCGGGCCAGCAUCGGUUGGGACGGCGGGAUAAAGGUCCCGGGAAUGUGGCUCCUUUCGGGGAGUGUUAUAGCCCGGGUGAAUGCCGCCAGCCCCGACCGAGGACCGCGCCUUCGGGCUAGGAUGCUUGGCAUAAUGGUCUUCAGCGACCCGUCUUGAAACACGGACCAAGGAGUCUAACAUCUAUGCGAGUGUUUGGGUGUCAAACCCUUACGCGAAAUGAAAGUGAACGGAGGUGGGAACCCGCAAGGGUGCACCAUCGACCGGUCCCGAAGUCUUCUGAAGGAUCUGAGUAGGAGCAUAGCUGUUGGGACCCGAAAGAUGGUGAACUAUGCCUGAAUAGGGUGAAGCCAGAGGAAACUCUGGUGGAGGCUCGCAGCGGUUCUGACGUGCAAAUCGAUCGUCAAAUUUGGGUAUAGGGGCGAAAGACUAAUCGAGCCUCUAGGC
rnacentral:rRNA from 1 species